CCUACGGGUCGCACCAGUAGGGAAUCUUCGGCAAUGGACGAAAGUCUGACCGAGCAACGCCGCGUGAGUGAAGAAGGUUUUCGGAUCGUAAAACUCUGUUGUUAGAGAAGAACAAGGACGUUAGUAACUGAACGUCCCCUGACGGUAUCUAACCAGAAAGCCACGGCUAACUACGUGCCAGCAGCCGCGGUAAUACGUAGGUGGCAAGCGUUGUCCGGAUUUAUUGAGCGUAAAGCGAGCGCAGGCGGUUUCUUAAGUCUGAUGUGAAAGCCCCCGGCUCAACCGGGGAGGGUCAUUGGAAACUGGGAGACUUGAGUGCAGAAGAGGAGAGUGGAGUUCCAUGUGUAGCGGUGAAAUGCGUAGAUACAUGGAGGAACACCAGCGGCGAAGGCGGCUCUCUGGUCUGUAACUGACGCUGAGGCUCGAAAGCGUGGAGAGCAAACAGGAUUAGAUACCCCCGUAGUC
rnacentral:rRNA from 1 species